GCCUUACAGAUCUUGGGAUAGCUCAGUUGGUUAGACUGUGGCACUGAUAAUGCCAAGGUUGCAGGUUAGAUCGCUGUAUAGGACA